CAUUGGGAGGGCGACCAAGAUGACAAAGGACCAGGAAUUCAUGCCACAGGGAGACUGAAUGAAGGAACGUGACAGGUCUGCCCUGGACAAGAGAAGGCUAUAGUGUGGAAGGCUGAUCUUUCUGUAGAGACUCCUUCUUUUACCCUGCACUGAAGAGUGCCAGGCAGAGACGAGAGGAUGGGAGGAUAGAUUUCGAUUUGCUGCUCCAAGGAGUCAAGAGACACAAGUACGAAGAAUGAAAUGAUUCCUACCCUCGAGGAGUUUACAUUCUUUUUUUUUGGUGGACUGAGACAGGAGGGCUCUGAGUUCAAAUCCAGAGCAGAUGCAAGUGACUUCGCCUCAGUUUCUUCAUUUCCUUUCAGCUGAGGGGGUUGUGCAGCUCAAAAGAGAUGAAUAGCUUUGCAAAUGUUCAGGCAUCUCCACCUCCCGCAUCCCCAUCACUUGUUUGUCCUGCCCCUCCUCCUUGGACAGACCAAUUGUGAGCAUGCAUCCGUAGGAUGGGCGGGGCCAAGAGCCAGCACCUCCUUCCGAGCUUAGAUGAGCGAACGACAGGAGUGGUUA